rnacentral:rRNA from 1 species
UACGUAGGCAGCAAGCGUUGUUCGGAGUUACUGGGCGUAAAGGGUGUGUAGGCGGCCUGUUAAGUUCCGUGUGAAAUCUCCCGGCUCAACCGGGAGGGUGCGCGGAAAACUGGCGGGCUAGAGUGCGGGAUGGGAGAGUAGAAUUCCUGGUGUAGCGGUGAAAUGCGUAGAUAUCAGGAGGAAUACCGGUGGUGUAGACGGCUCUCUGGACCACAACUGACGCUGAAACACGAAAGCGUGGGUAGCAAACAGG